CAGUCGCCGCGGGAAUACAGAGGAUCCAAGCGUUAUCCGGAAUCAUUGGGUUUAAAGGGUCCGUAGGCGGUCUUGUAAGUCAGUGGUGAAAGCCCAUCGCUCAACGGUGGAACGGCCAUUGAUACUGCAGGACUUGAAUUAUUGGGAAGUAACUAGAAUAUGUAGUGUAGCGGUGAAAUGCUUAGAGAUUACAUGGAAUACCAAUUGCGAAGGCAGGUUACUACCAAUUGAUUGACGCUGAUGGACGAAAGCGUGGGUAGCGAACAGGAUUAGAUACCCGAGUAGUCCCUGUCUCUUAUAC
rnacentral:rRNA from 1 species